GCAAAUAUAUUAACAUAUAGAAACCAUUUCAUGUACCUUUUUUUUUUUUUUGUAACUUCGAUUUUCAUGUACUUUUAUAGUCUAUAUAAUACAUAUACACACACCAUCAACGAGACAUAAAACUCAUACCACCACAAUCCACACAAAUGGCAAACCUCAUCCUCAUCAUCACCUCCCAUAUCCUCCUUCUCGCAGCUAUUGUCUCCGCCGGAAAGGGUGAAAACUUUGCAAAAAACAUUAACCGGAAACACUUCGGGCUCCGUAAAGAGAAACUCACUUUCUUCCGUGUCUACUGGCACGACAUUCAAAGCGGCAGAGACCCUAGCUCGGUCGUGCUCAGACCUCCUCUCUCCAACUCCUCUUUCUUCGGAGCAGUCACUAUGAUCGAUAACCGUUUAACUACGGAGGUCUCGGUUAACUCGACUUUGGUAGGCCAGGCUCAAGGGAUGUACGCUGGUGCGGGCCAACACGAUGCGUCUGCGCUUAUGGUGAUGAACUUCGCGUUCAAGACAGGUAAGUAUAACGGGAGUACGAUCUCGAUUCUUGGUCGAAACGCGGUGAUGACUAAGGUUAGGGAGAUGCCGGUGAUUGGAGGAAGUGGACUGUUCCGGUUCGCUAGAGGUUAUGUCGAGGCUAGAACUAAGUGGUUGAAUGUAAAGACAGGAGAUGCUACUGUUGAGUACAGCUGUUACGUCUUGCAUUAUUGACUUUGUGAUGAUUAAAUAUGGUAACAAAUAUUCAGUUAAUUAUGGCAAAUUGCUCAGAACAAAAUUACGUUGAGAUAAAUUAACAUAAAAUGAGUAGAAUGGAAAAAACUAAACGGAUCAUUUUCCAUUAGUUCAUGAAGUAAAUCAAGUGUUUAACCCAGAAGAAUCUAUAACUCAAAUGAAAUUUAAAUAAUCUAAUAAGUACCUUUGCUUAUUGAAAUACUAACAAUCAAAACUAAUUUAGUUCAAGAUUAUUUAUUUUUUCAAACUUAAAGGGCACAGAAAAAUUAAACUUAACAUCCUUAUAAUCUUUUUUUUCUUCCUUUUUGUAUGAUUAGUUCGAUAGAGAUAAAGUAAGAAUAAGACUUUUUAUUCUCUUUAACUUUUAUCCGGCCGGCGAAUACGACUUAUGGCGCAAAAAAAUAUUCAAAUAUUGACCCAUGUUUUCUUGUGGCAAAUAUAUCAACAUAUAGAAACUAUUUCAUGUACUUCUGUAGUCUAUAUAAUACAUAUACACACCAUCAACGAGACAUAAAACUCAUACCACCACAAUCCACACAAAUGGCAAACCUCAUCCUCAUCAUCACCUCCCAUAUCCUCCUUCUCGCAGCUAUUGUCUCCGCCGGAAAGGGUGAAAACUUUGCAAAAAACAUUAACCGGAAACACUUCGGGCUCCGUAAAGAGAAACUCACUUUCUUCCGUGUCUACUGGCACGACAUUCAAAGCGGCAGAGACCCUAGCUCGGUCGUGCUCAGACCUCCUCUCUCCAACUCCUCUUUCUUCGGAGCAGUCACUAUGAUCGAUAACCGUUUAACUACGGAGGUCUCGGUUAACUCGACUUUGGUAGGCCAGGCUCAAGGGAUGUACGCUGGUGCGGGCCAACACGAUGCGUCUGCGCUUAUGGUGAUGAACUUCGCGUUCAAG
rnacentral:lncRNA from 1 species